AGUGAACGCUGGCGGUAGGCCUAACACAUGCAAGUCGAACGGCAGCACAGUAAGAGCUUGCUCUUACGGGUGGCGAGUGGCGGACGGGUGAGGAAUACAUCGGAAUCUACUUUUUCGUGGGGGAUAACGUAGGGAAACUUACGCUAAUACCGCAUACGACCUACGGGUGAAAGCAGGGGAUCUUCGGACCUUGCGCGAUUGAAUGAGCCGAUGUCGGAUUAGCUAGUUGGCGGGGUAAAGGCCCACCAAGGCGACGAUCCGUAGCUGGUCUGAGAGGAUGAUCAUCCACACUGGAACUGAGACACGGUCCAUACUCCUACGGGAGGCAGCAGUGGGGAAUAUUGGACAAUGGGCUCAAGCCUGAUCCAGCCAUCCCGCGUGGGUGAAGAAGGCCUUCGGGUUGUAACGCCCUUUUGUUGGGAAAGACAAGCAGCAGGUUAAUACCCCGCUGUUCUGACGGUACCCAAAGAAUAAGCACCGGCUAACUUCGUG
rnacentral:rRNA from 1 species